rnacentral:rRNA from 1 species
AGAGUUUGAUCCUGGCUCAGGAUGAACGCUGGCGGUAUGCCUAACACAUGCAAGUCGAACGCAGUCUUCGGACUGAGUGGCGGACGGGUGAGUAACGCGUGAGAAUCUGGCUUCAGGAUGGGGACAACAGUGGGAAACCAGUGCUAAUACCCAAUGAGCCGCAAGGUAAAAGGAAAAUCGCCUGAAGAUGAGCUCGCGUCUGAUUAGCUAGUUGGGAGGGUAAAAGCCUACCAAGGCAACGAUCAGUAGCUGGUCUGAGAGGAUGAGCAGCCACACUGGGACUGAGACACGGCCCAGACUCCUACGGGAGGCAGCAGUGGGGAAUUUUCCGCAAUGGGCGCAAGCCUGACGGAGCAAUACCGCGUGAGGGAGGAAGGUUUUUGGAUUGUAAACCUCUUUUGAGUGGGAAGAAGCAAGUGACGGUACCACUCGAAUCAGCAUCGGCUAACUCCGUGCCAGCAGCCGCGGUAAUACGGAGGAUGCAAGCGUUAUCCGGAAUUAUUGGGCGUAAAGAGUCCGUAGGUGGCUUUUCAAGUCUGCGGUCAAAGACCAGAGCUUAACUCUGGGAAGGCAGUGGAAACUGAGAAGCUAGAGUUCGAGAGGGGUAAAGGGAAUUCCAGUGUAGCGGUGAAAUGCGUAGAGAUGGAAAGAACACCGGUGGCGAAAGCGCUCUACUGAUCGGAACUGACACUGAGGACGAAGCUAGGGAGCGAAAGGGAUAGAUACCCUGUAGUCUAGCGUAAACCGAUGAAUACUAGGCGUGCUGUAUCGACCGAGCAUGCCGAGCUUACGCGAUAAGGUAUCGGCUUGGGAAUACGACGCAAGUGUGGAACUCAAGAAUGACGGG